rnacentral:rRNA from 1 species
CAAUGGGGGAAACCCUGAUGCAGCGACGCCGCGUGAAGGAAGAAGUAUCUCGCCUAUGUAAACUUCUAUCAGCAGGGNAAGAUAGUGACGGUACCUGCACUAAGAAGCCCCGGCUAACUACGUGCCAGCAGCCGCGGUAAUACGUAGGGGGCAAGCGUUAUCCGGAUUUAUUGGGUUUAAAGGGAGCGUAGGCGGACGCUUAAGUCAGUUGUGAAAGUUUGCGGCUCAACCGUAAAAUUGCAGUUGAUACUGGGUGUCUUGAGUACAGUAGAGGCAGGCGGAAUUCGUGGUGUAGCGGUGAAAUGCUUANAUAUCACGAAGAACUCCGAUUGCGAAGGCAGCCUGCUGGACUGUAACUGACGCUGAUGCUCGAAAGUGUGGGUAUCAAACAGGAUUAGAUACCCUGGUAGUCCAAGGGCGAAUUC